GACGAACGCUGGCGGCGUGCUUAACACAUGCAAGUCGAACGGAAAGGCCCUGCUUUUGUGGGGUGCUCGAGUGGCGAACGGGUGAGUAACACGUGAGUAACCUGCCCUUGACUUUGGGAUAACUUCAGGAAACUGGGGCUAAUACCGGAUAGGAGCUCCUGCUGCAUGGUGGGGGUUGGAAAGUUUCGGCGGUUGGGGAUGGACUCGCGGCUUAUCAGCUUGUUGGUGGGGUAGUGGCUUACCAAGGCUUUGACGGGUAGCCGGCCUGAGAGGGUGACCGGCCACAUUGGGACUGAGAUACGGCCCAGACUCCUACGGGAGGCAGCGGUGGGGAGUAGUGCACAAGGGGCGGAAGCCUAAUGCGGCAACGCCGCGUGCGGGAUGACGGCCUUCGGUUUGUAAACCGCUUUCGCCUGUGACGAAGCGUGAGUGACGGUAAUGGGUAAAGAAGCACCGGCUAACUACGUG
rnacentral:rRNA from 1 species